UACGUAGGGUGCAAGCGUUGUCCGGAAUUAUUGGGCGUAAAGAGCUCGUAGGCGGUUCGUCGCGUCGGCUGUGAAAUCCCGAGGCUCAACCUCGGGUCUGCAGUCGAUACGGGCGGACUGGAGUUCGGCAGGGGAGACUGGAAUUCCUGGUGUAGCGGUGAAAUGCGCAGAUAUCAGGAGGAACAUCGGUGGCGAAGGCGGGUCUCUGGGCCGAUACUGACGCUGAGGUGCGAAAGCGUGGGGAGCAAACAGG
rnacentral:rRNA from 1 species